AUGGCCAGUCUGAUUCUGCCCACCAGCAUAGCCACCACGGCAUGCGGCAUCAUCCUCUCCAUCUCUUCCAUCAGUGCGCAGCGGCGAAUGAAACAGAGUUCGACGGAGGCCAGCAAUGGCAAAAACAGGGAUGGAGGAGGAGGGGAGGCAGCCGGCGGCACGGCGAAGGCAGGCGCGGUCGCUGCGGCGGGGACGGGUGAGGAAGGGAAGCAGCCUGCAGCGCUGGCAGAGGCGGGUCGGCCGCUGCCGGGAGGCGUCCCCCACCUCAUUCGACCGGCCACCCUAGGCUGGGCAAGGGGAUCUCCCUGUGAGCCGCACACAUGA
rnacentral:rRNA from 1 species